GAGACAAAUGUAGCUGAUUCCAGCUGA
rnacentral:piRNA from 1 species